rnacentral:rRNA from 1 species
UACGGAGGGGACUAGCGUUGUUCGGAAUCACUGGGCGUAAAGCGCGCGUAGGCGGAUUGUUAAGUCGGGGGUGAAAUCCCGAGGCUCAACCUCGGAACUGCCUUCGAUACUGGCGAUCUUGAGUCCGGGAGAGGUGAGUGGAACUCCUAGUGUAGAGGUGAAAUUCGUAGAUAUUAGGAAGAACACCAGUGGCGAAGGCGGCUCACUGGCCCGGUACUGACGCUGAUGUGCGAAAGCGUGGGGAGCAAACAGG